UUCAUGGAUACUUCCAUGCAGUCAUUUUUAUCUUGAAGGCGCUUAAAGGCCUUACCCAUGUCUAACGUACUUACUGCUUUCUUUCAGUGCUAAAGAAAUGGAACUAUCCAUGCAGUCUUAUCUCUACACAUAGGUAUGACCCACGAGUUAGCAGAAUGAACUCAGUUUGGUAGCUGGACUGCAUGACUUUGUG
rnacentral:lncRNA from 1 species